rnacentral:rRNA from 1 species
UUGCAGAACACAUUGAACAUCGACAUCUUGAACGCAAAUGGCGGCCUCGGGUCCAUCCCGAGGCCACGCCCGUCUGAGGGUCGGCGAAUCAGACAAGCUAUCGCCUCUUUUAUUUGGAGCAGGCUUCCUCACAGAAGGCGUCCGCUUCUCUCGAACAUUUCUUGCUCUAGAAUGACGACGAGACGGUCGCUGGAAAGUGGAGGCCGUAGAGGCGCUUUGGGUUUUCGCGGAUCUCAUGUGAUCCUCGUGACUUCAAGUGUAUGCUGCGCCGUCUGUCAUCUCGUGACGUCUUGGUGCCCGGAACAGCUCUGACUAUUUUGUUUUCCGUGCACUGACGACAUAGGCGAGAGAAUGUUUAUGUCUCKCUUAACCGACGCCGCCGGCCGUCGUGCUGGACUCGGAUUGAUCGGAUAUCAUCGAGCCGCCGGCGCGCUGGAAGCUGCGGGACAGUGAGAAUAAGCUUGUGUCGGCGCCCAGUUAAAACAAAGCAGCUACGCGUGCACUCGCAUGCGCAGCUUGCUUUUGUUUCACAUAUCCGACCUCAGAUCGGACGAGAUUACCCGCUGAAUUUAAGCAUAUUACUAAGCGGAGGAAAAGAAACUAACAAGGAUUCCCUCAGUAACGGCGAGUGAAGCGGGAAUAGCCCAGCACCGAAUCCCUCAGUGUCAUGCUGACGGGAACUGUGGUGUGUGGGACGCCACCAGUCGCAUCAGAGAGCGCCGAAGUCCUCCUGAUCGGGGCUUCACCCAGAGCGGGUGUAAGGCCUUUGCGGGUGCUUCUCUGUGCGGCCGCGAGCGUCUCAGGAGUCGGGUUGUUUGGGAAUGCAGCCCAAAGCGGGUGGUAAACUCCAUCUAAGGCUAAAUACUGGCACGAG